rnacentral:rRNA from 1 species
GAUGAACGCUGACGGCGUGCCUAAUACAUGCGAGUCGAGCGAACGGACGAGAAGCUUGCCUCUCUGAUGUUAGCGGCGGACGGGUGAGUAACACGUGGAUAACCUACCUAUAAGACUGGGAUAACUUCGGGAAACCGGAGCUAAUACCGGAUAAUAUUUUGAACCGCAUGGUUCAAAAGUGAAAGACGGUCUUGCUGUCACUUAUAGAUGGAUCCGCGCUGCAUUAGCUAGUUGGUAAGGUAACGGCUUACCAAGGCAACGAUGCAUAGCCGACCUGAGAGGGUGAUCGGCCACACUGGAACUGAGACACGGUCCAGACUCCUACGGGAGGCAGCAGUAGGGAAUCUUCCGCAAUGGGCGAAAGCCUGACGGAGCAACGCCGCGUGAGUGAUGAAGGUCUUCGGAUCGUAAAACUCUGUUAUUAGGGAAGAACAUAUGUGUAAGUAACUGUGCACAUCUUGACGGUACCUAAUCAGAAAGCCACGGCUAACUACGUG